rnacentral:rRNA from 1 species
AGUGAACGCUGGCGGUGGGCCUAACACAUGCAAGUCGAACGGCAGCACAGUAAGAGCUUGCUCUUACGGGUGGCGAGUGGCGGACGGGUGAGGAAUACAUCGGAAUCUACUUUUUCGUGGGGGAUAACGUAGGGAAACUUACGCUAAUACCGCAUACGACCUACGGGUGAAAGCAGGGGAUCUUCGUACCUUGCGCGAUUGAAUGAGCCGAUGUCGGAUUAGCUAGUUGGCGGGGUAAAGGCCCACCAAGGCGACGAUCCGUAGCUGGUCUGAGAGGAUGAUCAGCCACACUGGAACUGAGACACGGUCCAGACUCCUACGGGAGGCAGCAGUGGGGAAUAUUGGACAAUGGGCGCAAGCCUGAUCCAGCCAUACCGCGUGGGUGAAGAAGGCCUUCGGGUUGUAAAGCCCUUUUGUUGGGAAAGAAAAGCAGCAGGUUAAUACCCCGCUGUUCUGACGGUACCCAAAGAAUAAGCACCGGCUAACUUCGUG